rnacentral:rRNA from 1 species
GAUGAACGCUAGCGGCAGGCUUAAUACAUGCAAGUCGAGGGGCAUCAAGGUACACGAAAGUGUAUUGUUGGCGACCGGCGGACGGGUGAGUAAUAGGUAGGUAACCUACCUCAUACUGAGGCAUAGCUGGGAGAAAUUCCAGGUAAUUCCUCAUGAGGUUAUAUGACACAUGUGAUAUAAUCAAAGGUAUCGCAAGGUACUGGUAUGAGAUGGGCUUACUGACCAUUAGCUAGUUGGUGAGAUAAGAGCUCACCAAGGCGAAGAUGGUUAGGGGUUUUGAGAGAGAGAUCCCCCACAUUGGAACUGAGAUACGGUCCAGACUCCUACGGGAGGCAGCAGUAGGGAAUAUUGGGCAAUGGGCGGAAGCCUGACCCAGCCAUGCCGCGUGAAGGAAGACGGCCUUAUGGGUUGUAAACUUCUUUAGCAGGGGAAUAAAGACGAUACGAGUUAUCGUGUUAGAAGUACUUUGCGAAAAAGGUACGGCUAACGUCCGUGCC